AGAGUUUGAUCCUGGCUCAGAUUGAACGCUAGCGGGAUGCUUUACACAUGCAAGUCGAACGGCAGCGCGGACUUCGGUCUGGCGGCGAGUGGCGAACGGGUGAGUAAUGUAUCGGAACGUGCCCAGUAGCGGGGGAUAACUACGCGAAAGCGUAGCUAAUACCGCAUACGCCCUACGGGGGAAAGCGGGGGACCUUCGGGCCUCGCACUAUUGGAGCGGCCGAUAUCGGAUUAGCUAGUUGGUGGGGUAAAGGCCUACCAAGGCGACGAUCCGUAGCUGGUUUGAGAGGACGACCAGCCACACUGGGACUGAGACACGGCCCAGACUCCUACGGGAGGCAGCAGUGGGGAAUUUUGGACAAUGGGGGCAACCCUGAUCCAGCCAUCCCGCGUGUGCGAUGAAGGCCUUCGGGUUGUAAAGCACUUUUGGCAGGAAAGAAACGGCUCUGGCUAAUACCUGGGGCAACUGACGGUACCUGCAGAAUAAGCACCGGCUAACUACGUGCCAGCAGCCGCGGUAAUAC
rnacentral:rRNA from 1 species